GACGAACGCUGGCGGCGUGCCUAAUACAUGCAAGUUGAGCGCUGAAGGUUGGUACUUGUACCAACUGGAUGAGCAGCGAACGGGUGAGUAACGCGUGGGGAAUCUGCCUUUGAGCGGGGGACAACAUUUGGAAACGAAUGCUAAUACCGCAUAAAAACUUUAAACACAAGUUUUAAGUUUGAAAGAUGCAAUUGCAUCACUCAAAGAUGAUCCCGCGUUGUAUUAGCUAGUUGGUGAGGUAAAGGCUCACCAAGGCGAUGACACAUAGCCGACCUGAGAGGGUGAUCGGCCACAUUGGGACUGAGACACGGCCCAAACUCCUACGGGAGGCAGCAGUAGGGAAUCUUCGGCAAUGGACGAAAGUCUGACCGAGCAACGCCGCGUGAGUGAAGAAGGGUGUCGGAUCGUAAAACUCUGUUGGUAGAGAAGAACGUUGGUGAGAGUGGAAAGCUCAUCAAGUGACGGUAACUACCCAGAAAGGGACGGCUAACUACGUG
rnacentral:rRNA from 1 species